UGACAGUGUUCAUACCGCCCUGCCCUCCGCUCCUCCUCACCGAAAAGGCUUCCUGAGGAAAAAACACUUACUCACCCCACACACACACACACACACACGUUAUAGCUGCUGCGGCCGGCUGGAAAUCACACCGUGGCCGCUCCACAUCUUCCCCUCCUCCUGCUGGAUCCCGGUGCCACAAUCCCUCCGACACACCGGAGACCGGAUGUGCUUCCCCCGCGGCGGGAGCGAGCCGAGCGGCGGAUCAUGAGAAAGGCGCGGCACGGCGCGGCGGCGGCGGCGGAGGAGGAGGAGGAGGACACCCGGACCGAAGCGGAGUUUUUCAGGGAGCCGCACGGACAUGAUGAGUGCAGCAAAAGUUGAUGAAACCGAGGAGAGACGUGGUUGAAGCUUUCGGCACAUGAAUCUACGUUGCAGCUUCCCGCCGAGACUUCCUAUCAGGCUGGCUGUUGCUGAGGUGGAGGUGGAUCUGAAUUGCCCCAAGGCCCCCGUGAUGCCGCCCCCCAAGGGGAUGCUCCUCUGGCUGGGCCUUUUCCUGGCGUCUGCUGGGGUGGUCCUGGUCCUGUGUCUGGGAAUGCCCUACCAGUCUGCCCCCCUGGUGGUGGUUGGGGUGUUCCUGGGCCUUGUGGGCAUGGGCCUGCUGGUCAUCGGACUCUGCAUGGCCAUGAAGAAUCUCCAGGUGGCUGUGCCGGGACACUUUCUGUUGCACCCCCGCACGGGCACACGCUUCAGCCCCCAGCAGGCCCUGGCCAUCCAAAGGCGGCUGGACCGAAUUCGUCGGGAGAUGUCAUCAGACUCUGUCAGUGAAAGAGCAGAACCAGAGCCCUCCCUCCCAUCCACGCCCCCUCCCUGGACUAUGGAGCCGCCUCCAUCCUAUGACACAGUGAUGAAAGGCCAAGAGCCCAGUGAGCAGCUUUAACCUCGUGUAGACGUCUUCACUUUGUGUCAGUGCCUUUUUGUCUUCGGUUUGAACGAGAACCUUUUAACAAACAGUCGGUGCUAUUGAUGAGCUUGCUGCAGAGGGUAUCUUGUGUGCCUUAGGACCGCCGCCUGAUCCCAAACACAAGUCAAAGAGCAGCAGGAGACUGCAGCUGGUCAAAGAGUUACUGGUGACUACAUGGGACUUUUAAAGGACUUUAAUGAUCACUGCAACGGCUUCACCCUCUACACUAAUGGCCUUUCUGGUGAUGAGCAUUAUGUAAGGCACUUAAGGGAAUGAUAAUAAUAAUAACUUUAUUUGUAUAGCACUUUUCAAUAUAAAUAACAAAGUGCUUUAGAGCAUAAAGAAUCAGCACAGAGUCGAUAUCAACAUGAAAUAAAUACAUUUCAAACAUUACAUCAAAUUAAACAUUACAUCAUAAAAGCCUUCCUGUAAAAGUGUGUCUGGAGGAGCGAGGUAAAAUGAGGAACAGACUCUACAACCCUGAUUUCCUCUGGCAGGUCACUCCAGAGUCGCCUUUUGUUUUCAGCCUAGCUCUUGGAAGGGCUAGCAGGGCCUUAACAGCAGAUCUCAGACUGCAAGCUGGUUUUUGUGACUGAGAUAACGGCUGGGGCUAGGCCAAGCCUGGCCUUAAAAACAAAGAAAAGAAUUUUAAAAUCAAUCCUAAAACGAACAGGCAGCCAGUGCAGGGAUGCUAAAACCACGGUGAUGUGGUCAUGUUUUUUAGACCCAGUUAAAAGGCGAGCUGCUGCAUUUUGAACUAACUGAAGUGAUUUCUGGCUGAGACAGGCAUAUAAGCUAUUACAGUAGUCGAGGCGUGAAGAAAUAAAAGCAUGUUGAUUUGAUUUAGUUUCUCUAAAUCUGUGGCUGAGAUAAAAGACCUGACUUUGGCCAUGUUUUUCAAUGUCUGGACGACUUUCUUCACAUGAGGUUCAAAGUUCAAGUCCUGGUCAAAAAGAACUCUGAAGUUUCUGGCUGAGAGUUUUACAAGAGGAGUUAAAUCACCAAGGCUUUCCAAAAUUAAUUUUCUUUUUUAGGAUGGGCCGAUAACAUGACAUCAGAUUUGGAUGGAAAAUUGUCUGACAUCCAGUAUUUUAUUUCUUUGAUACAAUUGUGGAGGGCUGCUAUAUUAGAUUGAUCUCCGGGCUUCAUUGGGAUAUGUAAGUGUGUCAUUUGCAUAACAAUGAAAUUGGAGCUAAAGAUACAGAAAAGUAUCUGUUAAAAAGGUAAGACCAGAACCAAUCCAAGGUCACCUCAGUGAUUCUCAGCCACUUCUAUAACCUGUCAAUUAAAAUAUCAUGAAUGCGGCACUGAGGUCCAACAGAACUAAGAAGUAGCACUCACCGGCAUCUUCAGCUAAGAGGAGAUCAUUGCAAACUUUAAGGAGAACUGAUUCAGUGCGUGAUCGAAAGCUGGAUUGGAAUUUUUUGAGUAAGUUAUUGACUGAUAGAUGAGUUAUUGUUUGAAUACAGUUUUUUUCUAGGACCUUUGCUAAAAAAGGGAGCUUUGAGACAGAUUCUCAAAGAUUAAGAAAUUCCCCCGCAAGAGCAUCACCAGGACAGCAAACAUGAAUGCUAUGCAGACCUGGUCAUAAUUAGGUAAAAACAGAGCGAGCAGAGAAUUCAGAGAUAAAAGUGCCAUUGGGCUCAGGAGGGCGGUAAACUAAAAGGAAUAAAACAGGCUGAUGCUUAUUAAUACAAAAUGUUAAGCUUUCGAAGGAGGAGAAUUCCCCACAGGGAACAGGCUUAUAAAAGAAACUGUCUCUGUAGACGACAGCGAGGCCAGAUGGACGGAGUUUCUGCGCACAUGAGAAUGCUGGAGGUGUGGCUUUGUUCGGGGUGCUGUAUUCAUCUGGUUUCGACCAUGUUUCAGUCGUACAAAAAAUAUCAGUGUCAUUGGAGGUAAUAAAGUCAUUGCACAAAAAAUAUUUGUUAUUUAGGGACCUCACAUUUAAAAGGCUAAUCUUUAUAGAAUGAUGUAAACGGAUUGGCUGCAAGUCUCCUGGAGACGCUUCAUUAGGUUAAUUUACUGGCCUUUGUGAUUUUAUGUGACCUACUACUGUGGCUGCACAGCAUGAAAUUAUCUCUCCUUCAGGCUGCUCUUUGUAUCUGCACACUUUUUUCUGUCAUAACUUGGCACAAAUUUUAUUGACAGCUUCCUUCAAGUGCCUUAACCAGGGACAGCAGAAUGUUGAUAGCACAGUGUUACCCAUCUUUCAGCUUUGCAUCCAGUGUUUGCUCAAUGUCCACUGUAAGUUUUAUGUUGUGAUGUUCCUAUAAACUUGAGUUAAUAAAUAGCUUUGGAGCUCUCUGGGUGGUUUUGCUCUUGAGAGAUAAUAAAUUGUUUAUUUA
ensembl:lncRNA